rnacentral:snRNA from 1 species
GUGGGCUCCCCAUUCGAC